UCCAGGUAUGAAUUUUUAUGAAAAUAGCUCCAUCAACUUUCCCUAUGUGGACACAAGUUCUGCUGUCAAUUUCCCUGCAGUAGAGAAAGUCCCACAGUCAACUGCAGACAAGAAGGCUACCUUUUCCUUUAAGACCAUAAAGGAUUUCUGUCACAGAGUAAAAACCUGAAGGGCCUUAGAAAGGAGACACCUACGGAGUGCUGUUAAGCAACUAAUUCUACAUAUUAUCAGUAUGGCACAUGGAAGAAAGUAGCCAGCAGAGUGUUGUCAUCAAUGACCUCUGGACUCUUGAUUUAAGGAAAGAUUUAAACACAUAAUCUAUAAAUUCAAGGGCUUACAUGCAGCAAGAGCCCAUGCAUACAUCACUGGAUUUCUGAGACGGGCUGUUUGCAAAUUUGACAUUUGGAGGCUGUCUAAAAAGUGGCAUGAAGUUAUAUUUUCUAGAGUGACUACAGAUUUCAAAAAUGAGCAAGCAACACGGGUCAGUAGAAACUGGCCAAACGAAGCUUUUGUGGUACUCCAACAGAGAGUUCAAAGGAUGGAUACAUGGAUGGUGAUUUCAUUAAAGAAAAAGAGAUGACACUCGAAGCACUUUCCGAGAAUAAAACACAGUGGCUGCAGAGAAGAGGAGGAAUCAGGUGCGACUCAGACCUGCUAGACCACGCUUCACUGAUGGCUACAAUCAGAGAAAAGUGGCAGCUAGAAAAGACUGGUGGAGCAUUUCUAGCCUUACCCAAAAGAUUCUUUGACAUGCAAAACCAAAGACUGUAGGAGCUGCCCUUUACCUUCCAAAUCUUAAAGAAAGUACAUUAUUAAAUUAGUGUACAAAGUUGCUAAUUAGGUAGCUAUCACGGCGUGUUUUUUAUUCAAUCUACUGCUUAAUUGUCCUUUACCUAUUCCCAUUUUCUCCUUCUCCCUGAUCUCCUGUUCUUCCUCAAUAGUUCCCUCAUCAGCAGACGACUGCAUGUUACUUGUACUGUAUUAAUUUCUUGUUUCCCUAUCCUCUCUCUAAAGACCACUUUUCUCAUUUCUAUGUGCAUAACAUACGUACACACAUAUGUGUGUGCAUGUGCACACACACAAUAUACAUGCACAUAUAAAUAUAGAUUUGUCAUAC
rnacentral:sRNA from 1 species